CAAUAGCGUAUAUUAAAGUUGUUGCGGCCAAAAAGCUCGUAGUUGGAUUUCUACCGAAGAUAGCCGGUCGGGUCUUCGACCUUGUAUCUGGUUUUGUCUUUGGUAUCCUCAUAGGGAACGUUUCUGCGCUUUAUUGCGUGGUGCGGUAUCUAUGACUUUUACUUUGAGGAAAUUAGAGUGUUCACGGCAGGCAAACGCCUUGAAUAUAUUAGCAUGGAAUAAUAACAUAGGAUCUUCGUCCUAUUUUGUUGGUUUCUAGGGCUAAGAUAAUGAUUAAUAGGGAUAAUUGGGGGCAUCUGUAUCAACGCGUCAGAGGUGGAAUUCUUGGAUUGCGUUGCGACAAACUACUGCGAAAGCAUUUGCCAAGGAUGUUUUCAUUGA
rnacentral:rRNA from 1 species